GUUCGAUUCAGUUUUAAUAGCCAUCUUCUAAAAAUCAGUUUAGUUUCGAUAUUUGAUAUGGAAAAACCGUGGUCUGUGGUUUACUGGUUCAACUGGGAGAAUGACAAAAGGGGUUCGGCGACACCGCGUGUGCUUGUAACUCUCAAGUCCGAAAGCCGUAAAAACCAAAAUCAAAGUUCGAGCCACACCCAGUCACCCACACAGCAGCCUUCUUCACUCUCACCUCUCGUUCCCUUCCCUUCUCUCUCGCGGCCGAAUAUCAAAUUCCUAAACCCUCAGUCACAUUCGACAGUCGUUCACCCUCGACAAUCAUUCACUACUUCAGUUCGUCACACACAGUCGACACCUUCACUCACUCAGUUUCUGGGUUCGAUGUAAAUCCCAACACCACCUCUCAAUCUCUCUCAUUGCUAUCUCUUCUUGAUCCCUUUUUUUCUCGCUGGCGGCUAAAGGCAUUCACUCUCUCAUUUUCUAGGUUUGAUGGACAGCGCGCACCCACUGCUCACCAAAUCACCAAAUGCAUUAGGCAUAUCUUCUUUUUAAUCAUUCCAAAAAAAAAAAAUUCAGAUUUUGCAAAAUAUAAAAUAACACCCUAGUUGUUUUCGCUAGCAGAGACUUCUUCGUGAUUGAUCUAUCAAUCGAGAUGCCAUGGGAGCGUCGAGUGGGCCAAAACUCUCAGGUACCGAGCAUUUAUGCGAGCUGCUCGUUUGAAAUCUCCUAAGGAUCGCCUCCAGAUUGAAUCCAUUGUAUCGGCGGAGUUUCGCCGCAACUCCCAGCAAGUAGAUCGCAAGAAU
rnacentral:misc_RNA from 1 species